rnacentral:lncRNA from 1 species
UAAUCAUACUCAGGAUGGGUGAUAUAAUUGAGGCUCCUGUCAAUGUGCGGGACCCGUGGAUGUCUAGAUGUGUUCUCAAACAAGCUGUUUCAUUUGAUCUCAGCUCACAACAACUCUGGGAUGUAGAAGCCAUUAUUCUAGUCAACCUGAACGACUUGCUGGCCCUAUAAGGGACAUCUAUCUGAAGGUGGGCAUGGGCGAGAAUAGAAAACUGCAUGUUGGAAAACAUGGACAAGAGGUUACAUGUCAAUUAAUUACAAGUUUUGACAUUCAUUUUCUGACAUUUUGCAAUCUAUGUUCUCUCCUUCCUUUCCACCUUUCCUUGCUCCCCAAGAAGGCAAGUAAUAUUAUAGAAGUUGUACAUAUAUUAUCAUACAAUACGUAUUUCCCUGUUCAUGUUGUGAAAAAGGCAUAUAUUGCCUGCAUUUUCAAGUCAGUGUACAUACACAAAACAUUUGUAUAUACAUGUAUAUGCAUAUAUGUAAGUGUUUAUAUGUGAAUAUACAAAAGUAUUUCUAUUUUUUUAGAACUCAAGACCCUAACCCUUUGUUUGUUCAUAUAUGUGAAUGUUUAUGUUCUUGAGAGAUUAUUAAAUGCUUGUUGCC